GAUGAACGCUAGCUACAGGCUUAACACAUGCAAGUCGAGGGGCAGCAUUUCAGUUUGCUUUCAGACUGGAGAUGGCGACCGGCGCACGGGUGAGUAACACGUAUCCAACCUGCCGAUAACUCGGGGAUAGCCUUUCGAAAGAAAGAUUAAUACCCGAUGGCAUAAUUAGACCGCAUGGUCUUAUUAUUAAAGAAUUUCGGUUAUCGAUGGGGAUGCGUUCCAUUAGGCAGUUGGUGAGGUAACGGCUCACCAAACCUUCGAUGGAUAGGGGUUCUGAGAGGAAGGUCCCCCACAUUGGAACUGAGACACGGUCCAAACUCCUACGGGAGGCAGCAGUGAGGAAUAUUGGUCAAUGGGCGCAGGCCUGAACCAGCCAAGUAGCGUGAAGGAUGACUGCCCUAUGGGUUGUAAACUUCUUUUAUAUGGGAAUAAAGUUUUCCACGUGUGGAAUUUUGUAUGUACCAUAUGAAUAAGGAUCGGCUAACUCCGUGCCAGCAGCCGCGGUAAUACGGAGGAUCCGAGCGUUAUCCGGAUUUAUUGGGUUUAAAGGGAGCGUAGGUGGACAGUUAAGUCAGUUGUGAAAGUUUGCGGCUCAACCGUAAAAUUGCAGUUGAUACUGGCUGUCUUGAGUACAGUAGAGGUGGGCGGAAUUCGUGGUGUAGCGGUGAAAUGCUUAGAUAUCACGAAGAACUCCGAUUGCGAAGGCAGCUCACUGGACUGCAACUGACACUGAUGCUCGAAAGUGUGGGUAUCAAACAGGAUUAGAUACCCUGGUAGUCCACACAGUAAACGAUGAAUACUCGCUGUUUGCGAUAUACAGUAAGCGGCCAAGCGAAAGCAUUAAGUAUUCCACCUGGGGAGUACGCCGGCAACGGUGAAACUCAAAGGAAUUGACGGGGGCCCGCACAAGCGGAGGAACAUGUGGUUUAAUUCGAUGAUACGCGAGGAACCUUACCCGGGCUUAAAUUGCAUUUGAAUAUAUUGGAAACAGUAUAGCCGUAAGGCAAAUGUGAAGGUGCUGCAUGGUUGUCGUCAGCUCGUGCCGUGAGGUGUCGGCUUAAGUGCCAUAACGAGCGCAACCCUUAUCUUUAGUUACUAACAGGUCAUGCUGAGGACUCUAGAGAGACUGCCGUCGUAAGAUGUGAGGAAGGUGGGGAUGACGUCAAAUCAGCACGGCCCUUACGUCCGGGGCUACACACGUGUUACAAUGGGGGGUACAGAAGGCAGCUACCUGGUGACAGGAUGCUAAUCCCAAAAGCCUCUCUCAGUUCGGAUCGAAGUCUGCAACCCGACUUCGUGAAGCUGGAUUCGCUAGUAAUCGCGCAUCAGCCAUGGCGCGGUGAAUACGUUCCCGGGCCU
rnacentral:rRNA from 1 species